rnacentral:rRNA from 1 species
GACGUAGGGCGCGAGCGUUGUCCGGAUUUAUUGGGCGUAAAGAGCUCGUAGGCGGCUUGUCGCGUCGGCUGUGAAAACCCGCGGCUCAACUGUGGGCGGGCAGCUGAUACGGGCAGGCUGGAGUUCGGUAGGGGAGACUGGAAUUCCUGGUGUAGCGGUGAAAUGCGCAGAUAUCAGGAGGAACACCGGUGGCGAAGGCGGGUCUCUGGGUCGAUACUGACGCUGAGGAGCGAAAGCGUGGGGAGCGAACAGG